rnacentral:rRNA from 1 species
CCUACGGGAGGCUGCAGUGAGGAAUAUUGGUCAAUGGACGAGAGUCUGAACCAGCCAAGUAGCGUGAAGGAUGACUGCCCUAUGGGUUGUAAACUUCUUUUAUAUGGGAAUAAAGUGUUCCACGUGUGGGUUUUUGUAUGUACCAUAUGAAUAAGGAUCGGCUAACUCCGUGCCAGCAGCCGCGGUAAUACGGAGGAUCCGAGCGUUAUCCGGAUUUAUUGGGUUUAAAGGGAGCGUAGGUGGGUUGUUAAGUCAGUUGUGAAAGUUUGGGGCUCAACCGUAAAAUUGCAGUUGAAACUGGCAGUCUUGAGUGCGCUGGAGGUAGGCGGAAUUCGUGGUGUAGCGGUGAAAUGCUUAGAUAUCACGAAGAACUCCGAUUGCGAAGGCAGCUCACUGGACUGCAACUGACACUGAGGCUCGAAAGUGUGGGUAUCAAACAGGAUUAGAUACCCUUGUAGUC